GAACUUACCUGGCAGGGGAGGUACCAUGAUUACUAGGUGGUUUUCCCAGGGCGAGGCUUAUCCAUUGCACUCCAGAUGUGCUGACCCCUACGAUUUCCCCAAAUGUGGGAAACUGGACUGCAUGAUUUGUGAUUGAUAUUAAAAUUCAUUAGAACUCGAGGCAGAAUGUGAUAU
rnacentral:snRNA from 1 species